AUAAGCGCAUACGGUGGAUGCCUUGGCGGCAAGAGGCGAUGAAGGACGUAGUAGCCUGCGAUAAGCUUCGGGGAGCCGGCAAACAGGCUUUGAUCCGGAGAUUUCCGAAUGGGGAAACCCGACCCGCUUGCGGGUCAUCUGUACCUGAAUCCAUAGGGUACAGAGGCGAACCCGGGGAACUGAAACAUCUAAGUACCCGGAGGAAAAGAAAUCAACCGAGAUUCCGCUAGUAGCGGCGAGCGAACGCGGAUCAGCCCAGUCACAUCAAGCCUGUCAUGUAUAGUUGAACGGUCUGGAAAGUCCGGCCAUAGACGGUGAUAGCCCGGUAAACGAAAUGUGUGGCAGGUGGGUGACGAAGAGUAGGACGGGACACGUGUUAUCUUGUCUGAAUAUGGGGGGACCAUCCUCCAAGGCUAAAUACUCCUUGCCGACCGAUAGUGAACCAGUACCGUGAGGGAAAGGCGAAAAGAACCCCGGAGAGGGGAGUGAAAUAGAACCUGAAACCGCAUGCGUACAAGCAGUGGGAGCCCCGCACCUAAAUUGUUUUGCAAUUGAGUGCGAGGCAGAGGACAGAAGGCAGACCUUAAUGAGCGCCGUUUUACGGCGCGCUAUAGAAGUGCGGUGAAGCCGCACCUUUAAGUCAGUCCUCAGUUUUCUGCCGCACCUAAAUGGCGGAGCCAUUUAGGUGCGGGGUGACCGCGUACCUUUUGUAUCAUGGGUCAGCGAGUUACUUUCAGUGGCAAGCUUAACCGCAUAGGGGAGGCGUAGCGAAAGCGAGUCUUAAAAGGGCGUUUAGUCGCUGGGAGUAGACCCGAAACCGGACGAUCUAUCCAUGGCCAGGGUGAAGGUAGGGUAAAACCUACUGGAGGCCCGAACCAACUGAUGUUGCAAAAUCACUGGAUGAGCUGUGGAUAGGAGUGAAAGGCUAACCAAGUCCGGAGAUAGCUGGUUCUCCUCGAAAGCUAUUUAGGUAGCGCCUCGUGUCUCACUCUCGGGGGUAGAGCACUGUUAUGGCUAGGGCUGCAUCUCGCGGUACCAAACCAUUGCAAACUCCGAAUACCGAGAAGUGCAAUCACGGGAGACACACAGCGGGUGCUAACGUCCGUUGUGGAAAGGGAAACAACCCAGACCGCCAGCUAAGGUCCCCAAAUUACAGCUUAGUGGGAAACGAUGUAGGAAGGCUUAAACAGCCAGGAGGUUGGCUUAGAAGCAGCCACCCUUUAAAGAAAGCGUAAUAGCUCACUGGUCGAGUCAGCCUGCGCGGAAGAUUCAACGGGGCUCAAGCUGUAUACCGAAGCUGCGGGUGUGUAUGGUCCUUCGGGGCCAUGCACGCGGUAGAGGAGCGUUCCGUACGCCUGCGAAGGUGUGUUGAAAGGCAUGCUGGAGGUAUCGGAAGCGAGAAUGCUGACAUGAGUAACGUUAAUGGAGGUGAAAAACCUCCACGCCGAAAGCCCAAGGUUUCCUGCGCCACGUUAAUCGACGCAGGGUGAGUCGGCACCUAAGGCGAGGCCGAAAGGCGUAGUCGAUGGACAACAGGUUAAUAUUCCUGUACCUCAUAUUACUGCGAUGGGGGGACGGAGAAGGGUAGACAAAGCCAGCCGGGUGUUGGAUGUCCCGGUCUAAGCGCGUAGGGAGUGUUCUUAGGUAAAUCCGGGAGCACAAUCCUGAGACGUUAUGGGGAGUUCCUUUUUGGAGCGAACUGGCCGAUCCCAUGCUUCCAAGAAAAGCCUCUAAGCUUCAGGUAAUGUGAGACCGUACCCCAAACCGACACUGGUGGGCAGGGUGAGAAUCCCAAGGCGCUUGAGUGAACUCGGGUUAAGGAACUCGGCAAAUUGGCACCGUAACUUCGGAAGAAGGUGCGCCCUUGGUAGGUGAAGGACCUCGCGUCCGGAGCCGAAGGGGGCCGCAGUGACCAGGUAGCCGCGACUGUUUACCAAAAACACAGCACUCUGCAAACUCGCAAGAGGAAGUAUAGGGUGUGACGCCUGCCCGGUGCCGGAAGGUUAAGUGAUGGGGUUAGCCCUCGGGCGAAGCUCUUGAUCGAAGCCCCGGUGAACGGCGGCCGUAACUAUAACGGUCCUAAGGUAGCGAAAUUCCUUGUCGGGUAAGUUCCGACCUGCACGAAUGGCGUAACGAUGGCUACACUGUCUCAACCCGAGACUCAGUGAAGUUGAAAUCGCUGUGAAGAUGCAGCGUACCCGCCGCAAGACGGAAAGACCCCGUGCACCUUUACUAUAACUUCACACUGAACUUUGAACACGUUUGUGUAGGAUAGGUGGGAGGCUUUGAAGCGGGAACGCCAGUUCCCGUGGAGCCGUCCUUGAAAUACCACCCUGGCCUGUUUGAGGUUCUAACCGUGGCCCGUUAUCCGGGUCCGGGACCGUGUGUGGUGGGUAGUUUGACUGGGGCGGUCUCCUCCCAAAGAGUAACGGAGGAGUGCGAAGGUACCCUCAGCGCGGUCGGAAAUCGCGCAUAGAGUGCAAAGGCAUAAGGGUGCUUAACUGCGAGACAGACAAGUCGAGCAGGUGCGAAAGCAGGUCUUAGUGAUCCGGUGGUUCUGUAUGGAAGGGCCAUCGCUCAACGGAUAAAAGGUACGCCGGGGAUAACAGGCUAAUACCGCCCAAGAGUUCAUAUCGACGGCGGUGUUUGGCACCUCGAUGUCGGCUCAUCACAUCCUGGGGCUGAAGCCGGUCCCAAGGGUAUGGCUGUUCGCCAUUUAAAGUGGUACGCGAGCUGGGUUUAGAACGUCGUGAGACAGUUCGGUCCCUAUCUGCCGUGGGCGUUGGAAAUUUGAGAAGAGCUGCUCCUAGUACGAGAGGACCGGAGUGGACGUAUCUCUGGUGUUCCGGUUGUCACGCCAGUGGCAUUGCCGGGUAGCUAUAUACGGACAGGAUAACCGCUGAAAGCAUCUAAGCGGGAAGCCCCCUUCAAGAUUAGAUUUCCCUGGACCCUUGAGGUCCCUGAAGAGCCGUUGAAGACUACAACGUUGAUAGGCUGGGUGUGGAAGCGCAGUAAUGCGUGAAGCUAACCAGUACUAAUUGCUCGUGCGGCUUGGCC
rnacentral:rRNA from 1 species